rnacentral:rRNA from 1 species
UACGAAGGUGGCAAGCGUUGUUCGGAUUUACUGGGCGUACAGGGAGCGUAGGCGGUUGGGUAAGCCCUUCGUGAAAUCUCCGGGCCUAACCCGGAAAGUGCGGAGGGGACUGCUCGGCUAGAGGAUGGGAGAGGAGCGCGGAAUUCCCGGUGUAGCGGUGAAAUGCGUAGAGAGUCCGGAAGAACACCGGUGGCGAAGGCGGCCGCUGGGCAGUGGCUGACACUGAGGCGCGACAGCG